rnacentral:rRNA from 1 species
GAUGAACGCUGGCGGCGUGCCUAAUACAUGCAAGUCGAGCGAACAGACGAGGAGCUUGCUCCUCUGACGUUAGCGGCGGACGGGUGAGUAACACGUGGAUAACCUACCUAUAAGACUGGGAUAACUUCGGGAAACCGGAGCUAAUACCGGAUAAUAUAUUGAACCGCAUGGUUCAAUAGUGAAAGACGGUUUUGCUGUCACUUAUAGAUGGAUCCGCGCCGCAUUAGCUAGUUGGUAAGGUAACGGCUUACCAAGGCAACGAUGCGUAGCCGACCUGAGAGGGUGAUCGGCCACACUGGAACUGAGACACGGUCCAGACUCCUACGGGAGGCAGCAGUAGGGAAUCUUCCGCAAUGGGCGAAAGCCUGACGGAGCAACGCCGCGUGAGUGAUGAAGGUCUUCGGAUCGGAAAACUCUGUUAUUAGGGAAGAACAAAUGUGUAAGUAACUAUGCACGUCUUGACGGUACCUAAUCAGAAAGCCACGGCUAACUACG